rfam:Canis lupus familiaris chromosome 5, whole genome shotgun sequence.
AGGAGGAACAGCCCCAGUGGCGGGGCCAGCUCUGGAGCCCUGGAGUCAGCCCCCGCAGUAGCUCCAGAGCUCUCCGUCUGCAGGGCCUGGAGGCUCCGGGGCGGG